GACGAACGCUGGCGGCGUGCCUAAUACAUGCAAGUAGAACGCAGUUGCGAACGGGUGAGUAACGCGUAGGUACACUGCCCAAUAGCGGGGGGUAACUAAUGUAAACGAUUGCUAAUACCGCAUAGUGUGCGAUGGACCUGCUUUUUGUUAGCUAGUGUGUGGGGCAAAAGCUCACCAAGGCGACGAUACAUAGUCGACCUGAGAGGGGGAACGGCCAACAUGGGGCGUGGACACGGCCCAGCAUCCAACGGGGGGCAGCAAUAGGGAAACUUCGGCAAUGGACGGAAGUCUGACCGAGCAACGCCGCGGGAGUGAAGAAGGUUUUCGGGUCGUAAAGCUCUGUUGUUAGAGAAGCGGUACCUAACCAGAAAGGGACGGCUAACUACGUGCCAGCAGCCGCGGUAAUAC
rnacentral:rRNA from 1 species